rnacentral:rRNA from 1 species
GACGAACGCUGGCGGCGUGCCUAAUACAUGCAAGUCGAGCGCAGGAAGCCGUCUGAACCCUUCGGGGGGACGACGGUGGAAUGAGCGGCGGACGGGUGAGUAACACGUAAAGAACCUGCCCACGGGUCUGGGAUAACCACGAGAAAUCGGGGCUAAUACCGGACGGGUCAUCGGACCGCAUGGUCCGAGGAUGAAAGGCGCUCCGGCGUCGCCCGUGGAUGGCUUUGCGGUGCAUUAGCUAGUUGGUGGGGUAACGGCCCACCAAGGCGACGAUGCAUAGCCGACCUGAGAGGGUGAUCGGCCACACUGGGACUGAGACACGGCCCAGACUCCUACGGGAGGCAGCAGUAGGGAAUCUUCCACAAUGGACGAAAGUCUGAUGGAGCAACGCCGCGUGAACGAUGAAGGCCCUCGGGUCGUAAAGUUCUGUUGUAAGGGAAGAACAAGUGCCGCAGGCAAUGGCGGCACCUUGACGGUACCUUGCGAGAAAGCCACGGCUAACUACGUGCCAGCCGCCGCCGUAAUAC